ACCUGUGGUANUUCUAGAGCUAAUACAUGCUAAAAACCCCGACUUCGGGAGGGGUGUAUUUAUUAGAUAAAAAACCAAUGCCCUCCGGGGCUCCUUGGUGAAUCAUAAUANCUUAACRAAUCGCANGGCYUUGCCCCGGCRANGGUUCAUUCAAAUUUCUGCCCUAUCAACUUUCGAAGUGAGGGUAGUGGCCUCACUUGGUUUCUACGGGUAACGGGGAAUUAGGGUUCUAUUCCGGAGAAGGAGCCUGAGAAACGGCUACUACAUCCAAGGAAGGCAGCAGGCGCGCAAAUUACCCAAUCCCAAUACGGGGAGGUAGUGACAAUAAAUACUGAUGAUGAGCUCUUUUGGGUUUAUCAAUUGGAAUGAGUACAAUCUAAAUCCCUUAACGAGGAACAAUUGGAGGGCAAGUCUGGUGCCAGCAGCCGCGGUAAUUCCAGCUCCAAUAGCGUAUAUUAAAGUUGUUGCAGUUAAAAAGCUCGUAGUUGAAACUUGGGUCUGGCUGACCGGUCCGCCUAACCGCGUGNACUGGCUCGGCCGGGCCUUUCCUUCUGGGGAAUCUCAUGCCCUUCACUGGGUGUGCAGGGGAACCAGGACUUUUACUUUGAAAAAAUUAGAGUGUUCAAAGCAGGCCUAUGCUCGAAUACAUUAGCAGGAAUAAUAGAAUAGGACGUGC
rnacentral:rRNA from 1 species